GUAUUGUAGCAGGCUACUAGCCUAUGUAUACUGUAGCUGGUUACUAGCCUAUGUUAUAUUAGAUUUAAGUUAACAGCAUUAUGGUUAACCAUCGAUAGAUACACAUCUAUCGAUAGUUAACCAUAUCGGUGGCUGAGGAGGCUGUCGAUAUGCAACAUGCCAUUUUGAGUAAUAGAAAGAGGAGGAUCGAUACAUUUUAAGCUUGAAUGUGAACAAUAGCAGACGUGUGUAUAUCAAGAAAUUAUGAAAUAAAGAAAUUAAACAAAAGGCCUACUACAAUCUCAGAAGUGGGAUAAAGUACACUAAUUUUUCAAAUUAAAUAAAAUGAAUUUAAGCAUAAAUGAAAUUAAGCAUAGACGAAGUAUCUGUGGUGCAGUUAAAGAAGUGGCUAGCUGCAUUGGGCUUGUCGACUCAAGGGUGCAAGACUGAACUUGUCGCUCGCCUCAAUGGCGUGCCCGCAAAUUUGCGCGGCAGCGCCCCCGAAGUGGAACAGGGAGAGGAGGAGUCAGAUCAAACUGGAGUAUCGCAGACAGUGCAAAUGCAACAGGAGGAAAUAGACAGGAAUGAGAAUAUUUUGCGAGAGCUAAGUGAGCAGAUCGACGCAGCAAAGAAGCAGCUAAAAAAUUUUCACACACGACAAUUGGACAGAGACGGCAAUAGCAAGCGUGCCGAAAUUAGCGCAAAUGGCGUCGAUGCAGAAGUUGAAUUCGAAGAACGCGCGACUGACGCGCGCCAAAAGGGCGCCAGUGAAAAUUGUGUAAUAAAUACAACGCACAAUGAUGAAGUGAUGUCAAUGAUGUUUAAAUUAGCUAAAGAAAUUAUGGUGGAAUUCACUGGGGAGGAGUCUAUUAGCAACUGGAUAGCGCAAUUGAAUAAUGUAUCUCAAUUAUAUCAACUAACGGACAUGCAAAAAAAGUUGCUAUGCAUGGCCAAAUUAAAAGGGAAAGCCAUGCAAUGGAUACAUGAUGAUUCAUCGAGGAUUGUGCAACCGUUGGGCACAUUAUUGGAUGGAUUGGCAGCAGCAUUCGGAAGCAAGAUAUCCAAGGCCGAAAUGCGUCGCAAGUUUGGGCAAGGGAAAUUCGUUUAGAUGUAGACGAGCUACUGGAUGGUCUCAUUGAAGGAAUCCCAAAUGCAGUUUUACGCGCGCAGGCCAGGAUACAGUGCUUUGAAGACCCCAGCAAAUUGGUAAGGGCUUUUGCAGAGGUGCGGUUGCCACUGCAUCGAUCUACUGGAGGAAAAGGGACAACAGCAGUGGGACCAGGGCUCGAUAAUGCAAUGAAGGAGACGCGUUGCUUCAAUUGCAACUAUAAGGGGCAUUGGGCAAGAGAUUGUCAGAAGCCCAAGAGGGAGAAGGGUACGUGCUACCACUGCGGCGCUAAGGAUCAUAUGGUGGCACAAUGCACGAAGAGGAAGGAUGAUAUUGGAAACAAUUUCAAUGCCUCAUAGAUUCAGGAAGUCCUAUUUCGUUUAUUAAAAAAUCGUGUGUCCCAGUUGGAAUAAAACUUAAAGCACACGCAGAAAAUUACUUUGGGCUAAAUGAAAGCCAGUUAAAUGUGAUUGGAAAAACAUUUGUUCAUAUUUUCAAGAAGUUUGAGAAAAUAAAUUUUUGGUUAAUA